UUUGACUCAGUUGAAGUGUUUACGUAUGUCAUUGUCAAAUUUUGGCAUGGGACAGUCAAGGGGUGUGGAGCUUCGUAGAAAUGUUUUGUCAAAACUUUCUUUAUUGGAAGAACUAAGAAUUGAUGUAGAUCCAAAUAAUCAAAGGUGGGAGGAGGUUGUAAAAGCCAUUAUUGAGGAGGUGGCUACCUUGACACAUUUGACUUCACUUUCGAUUUGUUUUCCUAGCAUGGACUGUCUUGAGUUUUUCAUCUCAACGAGUCCUUCAUGGAAGGAUCUCUACUUCACAUUCCAAUUUUCUGUUGGUCACCAUGACUCAACCAAAUAUCAAAUUCUUGACUAUUUUGAAUAUCAAAUCAGGAGGUGUUUGAAGUUUGUAAAUGGUGAAGGUGUACAUCCUGCAAUUUCAGAGGUUCUUGCAGAAACUGAUGCAUUUGAAUUGAUAGGCCACAAGGGAGCUAAAAAUCUAUCAGAUUUUGAUAUCAAGAGUAUCAACAAGAUGCGAGGUUGCUUGAUUGAAGGAUGCAGUGAAAUUGAAACUAUUGUUGAUGGUAAUAGAGUACAAGGAAGUGCAUUGGAAGGCUUAGAAGUGAUGUACAUAUAUAAUGUCCCAAAAUUAGCAAGCAUUUGGGAAGGACCUGUUCAUACUGGAAGCCUUGGCCGACUAAAGAAUCUAACUUUAUGCAAAUGUCCGAGUUUAAAGAAGAUCUUCUCCAACAACAUGAUUGCUCAACUUCCUAAACUUCAAGACUUAAAAGUUGAAGAUUGUUCUGGAAUCGAAGAAGUAAUUAUGGAGUCUGAAAACGGGGGGUUGGAACCUGAUGUGCUUCCAAGUUUGAAGAAACUAGUACUUCUUGAUCUUCCAAAACUAAGAAGCAUCUGCGUUAAUGACUUAAUAAAGUGGUCAUCUUUGAAGAAGAUUGUGAUAUCUAUGUGCCCAUUAUUGACAAAAUUGCCCUUCAGCAACGAGAAUGCAAUCAAUUUGGAAUGUAUUGAAGUCCAACGAUCAUGGUGGAAUGCAUUGGAAUGGCAACAAGAAGCCAUUGAAGAAAGACUACGAUCUAUAUGCAGCUUCAACUAGUGGUUUUCAUUUUAUCCUUCUCGACAGCCCUUCAUCAACACAGUAUACAAUAAAAUUUUCUGUUAGAAGAUGGCCAUAAAGCAUUCUUUGAUACUCACAUUGAAUUAUGAUACAGAAGAUCAGGAUCCUUCUAGCUAGACAGCCUUGGAGGAUUUGGAGUCUUUUGGUGCGUGUUCGUGAGAAUUUGCUAAGUUGUCUCAGUAUUUUAGUUUAUGGAGCAGUGGACAUGUUUAUGUUUUUGAUUUACUUAAAUUGUUGUUUUUGGAGACCUUCCGUUUCACAGGGGAUUUUAGAAUUUGUUGGAAUUGCUAUUGUGGUCUUUUAUCCUAAGGAGUUCUUGUUAUUAUUGUACUUCAUGUUUGGUUUUUUAUGGUAUGUGGACACCGAUAAUAUGUGAACUUUUGACAUUGUGUUGAUGAAUUUUUAGUUGCUUUGGUUGUA